rnacentral:sRNA from 1 species
AAAAGUUCAAAUUGUUCACCUUGGUGUGAGGCCUUUUACAACCUGGCUCAGAUCUGCCUUUUUAGUCUCAGAUUGCAGCAUCUUAUGGAAAUGUUAUCUCCAUUUUUGAACCAGUUAACCUACCGAAACAAAAGAAAAAUUUGGUCAGUAAUUUAUGAUUUCUUCUUUUAGGAAUUGAAAUGUUUUAGGUAUUGAAAGAGUGUAAAAUCAGAGUGAUCAUCGAGUAGAUCGGUAUAACUUAUAUACUGUAAUUGAACCCACAUGUUAAAUUCCAUUUUGAUAUUAAAAAUAAAUUUUUCAUUGGAAUAGAACUCAAAUAAAUUGUGCCAAUGAAUUGUUGA